rnacentral:rRNA from 1 species
GGCGAACGGGUGAGUAACACGUGGGUAACCUGCCCAUCAGAAGGGGAUAACACUUGGAAACAGGUGCUAAUACCGUAUAACAAUCAAAACCGCAUGGUUUUGAUUUGAAAGGCGCUUUCGGGUGUCGCUGAUGGAUGGACCCGCGGUGCAUUAGCUAGUUGGUGAGGUAACGGCUCACCAAGGCCACGAUGCAUAGCCGACCUGAGAGGGUGAUCGGCCACAUUGGGACUGAGACACGGCCCAAACUCCUACGGGAGGCAGCAGUAGGGAAUCUUCGGCAAUGGACGAAAGUCUGACCGAGCAACGCCGCGUGAGUGAAGAAGGUUUUCGGAUCGUAAAACUCUGUUGUUAGAGAAGAACAAGGAUGAGAGUAACUGUUCAUCCCUUGACGGUAUCUAACCAGAAAGCCACGGCUAACUACGUGCCAGCAGCCGCGGUAAUACGUAGGUGGCAAGCGUUGUCCGGAUUUAUUGGGCGUAAAGCGAGCGCAGGCGGUUUCUUAAGUCUGAUGUGAAAGCCCCCGGCUCAACCGGGGAGGGUCAUUGGAAACUGGGAGACUUGAGUGCAGAAGAGGAGAGUGGAAUUCCAUGUGUAGCGGUGAAAUGCGUAGAUAUAUGGAGGAACACCAGUGGCGAAGGCGGCUCUCUGGUCUGUAACUGACGCUG